rnacentral:rRNA from 1 species
GACGUAGGGCGCGAGCGUUGUCCGGAUUUAUUGGGCGUAAAGAGCUCGUAGGCGGCUUGUCGCGUCGAGUGUGAAAUCCUGCGGCUCAACUGCAGGCUUGCAUUCGAUACGGGCAGGCUGAAGUUCGGUAGGGGAGACUGGAAUUCCUGGUGUAGCGGUGAAAUGUGCAGAUAUCAGGAGGAACACCGGCUGGCGAAGGCGGGUCUCUGGGCCGAUACUGACGCUGAGACGCGAAAGCGUGGGGAGCGAACAGG